rnacentral:tRNA from 1 species
CCUUUCGUGGCUUAGUAGCUAGAGCGUUGGUGUGUAAAACCAAAGGUCCCGGGUUCGAUUCUCGCCGAGGAGG